UUGAACGCUGGCGGCAUGCUUUACACAUGCCAGUCGAACGGCAGCGCGGGCUUCGGCCUGGCGGCGAGUGGCGAACGGGUGAGUAAUACAUCGGAACGUGCCCAGUAGUGGGGGAUAGCUCGGCGAAAGCCGGAUUAAUACCGCAUACGACCUGAGGGUGAAAGCGGGGGAUCUUCGGACCUCGCGCUAUUGGAGCGGCCGAUGGCAGAUUAGCUAGUUGGUGGGGUAAAGGCCUACCAAGGCGACGAUCUGUAGCUGGUCUGAGAGGACGACCAGCCACACUGGGACUGAGACACGGCCCAGACUCCUACGGGAGGCAGCAGUGGGGAAUUUUGGACAAUGGGCGAAAGCCUGAUCCAGCAAUGCCGCGUGUGUGAUGAAGGCCUUCGGGUUGUAAAGCACUUUUGGCGGGAACGAGAAGGACUGUGCCAAUACCACGGUUCGAUGACGGUACCCGCAGAAUAAGCACCGGCUAACUACGUG
rnacentral:rRNA from 1 species